CGCCGAAUCCCGGGCCGAGGAAGCCAGAU
rnacentral:piRNA from 1 species